rnacentral:rRNA from 1 species
UAGUAAAACUACACAUGCAAGUAUCCACGCCCCAGUGAGAAUGCCCUCUAAAUCACCCCAACGAUUAAAAGGAGCGGGUAUCAAGCACACUAAACAGUAGCUCACAACACCUUGCUCAACCACACCCCCACGGGAAACAGCAGUGACAAGAAUUAAGCAAUAAACGAAAGUUUGACUAAGUUAUACUAAAUAGAGUUGGUAAAUUUCGUGCCAGCCACCGCGGUCAUACGAUUAACCCAAAUUAAUAGAACCUCGGCGUAAAGCGUGUCAAAGAUAUAACCUCAAAUAAAGUUAAAACCCUAGUUAAGCUGUAAAAAGCCACAACAAAAACAAAAUAGACCACGAAAGUGACUUUAAUACAUUCGCCCACACGACAGCUAAGGCCCAAACUGGGAUUAGAUACCCCACUAUGCUUAGCCCUAAACCUAAAUGAUUUCCCCCAACAAAAUCAUUCGCCAGAGUACUACUAGCAAUAGCCUAAAACU